rnacentral:rRNA from 1 species
AUUAUUGGGCGUAAGCGCGCGCAGGCGGUUUCUUAAGUCUGAUGUGAAAGCCCACGGCUCUACCGUGGAGGGUCAUUGGAAACUGGGAGGCUUGAGUGCCUAAGAGAAGAGCGGAAUUCCAUGUGUAGCGGUGAAAUGCGUAGAGAUGUGGAGGAACACCAGUGGCGAAGGCGUCCCUCUGGUCUGUAACUGACGCUGAGGCGCGAAAGCGUGGGGAGCGAACAGGAUUACAUACCCUGCCAGUCCACGCCGUAAACGAUGAGUGCUAAGUGUUGUACCCCCCCUUCCCCUCCCUGCUGAACU